CACACACACAGGCAUACUGACACACACAGACAUACAAACUGACACACACACAGACAUGACACACACAGACAUACUGACACACACACAGACAUACAAACUGACACACACAGACAUACAAACUGACACACACACAGACAUACAAACUGACACACACACAGACAUACAAACUGACACACAGACAUACAAACUUACACACAGACAUACAUACUGACA